UGAGGAAUGAAUAGGUAACGUACCCCGAACUUCGGAAUAGUGUCAGAAAACUUCGGUUUUCAUCCGAAAGGGGCGGUAAUGCCGAAUAAUAUCAUUUGUUUUAAGGCGAAUGAUCAAAGAUUUAUCGGUUUGGGAGCGGCCUAUUUCCUAUCAGCUAGUUGGUGAGGUAAUGGCUCACCAAGGCAUCGACGGGUAGCGGGGCUGAGAGGCUGACCCGCCACAUCGGGACUGUGACACUGCCCGGACCUCCACGGAGGGCUGCAGUAACGAAUAUUGCGCAAUGGACAAAAGUCUGACGCAGCAACGCCGCGUGUAGGAUGAAGCUCUUCGGAGUGUAAACUACUGUCAGGGGUCAGAAAGUAUGCUUCGGCAUAUUGAUCAACCCCAGAGGAAGUCACGGCUAACUUCGUGCCAGCAGCCGCGGUAAUACGAAGGUGGCAAGCGUUGUUCGGAAUCACUGGGCUUAAAGCGCGCGUAGGCGGAAGAGAAAGUGUUUUGUGAAAUCCCCCGGCUUAACCGGGGAAUUGCUUAGCAAACUUCUCUUCUUGAGGCAAGUAGGGGUACAUGGAACUCUUGGUGGAGCGGUGGAAUGUGUAGAUAUCAAGAGGAACGCCAAUGGUGAAGACAGUGUACUGGGCUUGUCCUGACGCUGAGGUGCGAAAGCGUGGGGAGCGAACGGGAUUAGAUACCCCGGUAGUCCACGCCGUAAACGAUGUCUACUAGAUUGUGUGGGUUCUGACACCGUCACAGUCGAAGCAAAAGUGUUAAGUAGACCGCCUGGGGAGUACGGUCGCAAGGCUAAAACUCAAAGGAAUUGACGGGGGCUCACACAAGCGGUGGAGCAUGUGGAUUAAUUCGAGGCAACGCGCAGAACCUUACCUGGGUUUGACAUGCAUGUAUGGCUGCUGGGAAACCAGUUAGUCUGCCCUUCGGGGUGAAACUUGCACAGGUGCUGCAUGGCUGUCGUCAGCUCGUGUCGUGAGAUGUC
rnacentral:rRNA from 1 species